UUCAUGUUUAUAGUCUGCAGCUUCACUUGCCUUCUUAGAGGCGAUGUUUUGAAGAACACUAACUUAGGUCUUGUGCCCCUAACUAUAAAAGUCAUUUUCACAUAUUUUUACUUUAAGUCAGAGGUCCCCAGCCCCUGGGCCGUGAACCGGUACUAGUCUGUGGCCUGUUAGAAACUGGGUGGGUUGCACAUGCCUUAUGAGAAUCUAAUGCCUGAUGAUCUGAGGUGGAACAGUUCAACGUGUUGUCCUACUAAGGAUGUUGUCAGAUUAGUGGUGUCUUAAAAUGAUCUUAUUUUGUUGCAUAUAUCAGUUACUUGAUGAGAUUCAUUAGAAUUCCUGUUAUGUGGAUUAAGAAGGCAUAAACUGGAAAGAAAUUAUUUUUGGCUUCAAAGAAUUUUCUGAUGUUGGAACCAACUUAGAAAAGACUGCCUUGUAAGAAACCCUCACAUCCACCCACACACAGAGAGAGCUAUAGUGGCUCUAUAAACUACCCAAUGAAUAUAAACUAUAGUCAUCCAACAACCAAGCCUCGAUUUCCCCAUGGUCAACUUACUGGAGAAGAUAUUAUCCAUCAAAAUUAUGAACAGUAAUCCUUAAUUUCCAUAAAACUAUUCACUCAUCUAUCCUUGAUGGCAUAGUAUGUGCCAAGCGCCUGAGACUCUGGGACCCUGAGAAAUGAUGAUGAACAACAGGACACAGCCCUUGCCCUUAUGAAACACACAACACAGAAAUAGCAAUUUAGCAAUUUUCUUUCCCUUUUUAACACCUGUAUAGAUCAAAAAGAUUUUUUUUCUGAAACAUAUCUGUGCAUUACAUUAAUUAGUCAAUAAACCAUAAACAUUUACUAUGUACUAAUCUCUG
rnacentral:lncRNA from 1 species